rnacentral:rRNA from 1 species
AUUGAACGCUGGCGGCAGGCCUAACACAUGCAAGUCGAGCGGAUGAAGGGAGCUUGCUCCUGGAUUCAGCGGCGGACGGGUGAGUAAUGCCUAGGAAUCUGCCUGGUAGUGGGGGAUAACGUCCGGAAACGGGCGCUAAUACCGCAUACGUUCUGCGGGAGAAAUGGGGGGAUCUUCGGACCUCACGCUAUCAGAUGCGCCUAGGUCGGAUUAGCUAGUUGGUGGGGUAAUGGCCUACCAAGGCGACGAUCCGUAACUGGUCUGAGAGGAUGAUCAGUCACACUGGAACUGAGACACGGUCCAGACUCCUACGGGAGGCAGCAGUGGGGAAUAUGGGACAAUGUGCGAAAGCCUGAUCCAGCCAUGCCGCGUGUGUGAAGAAGGUCUUCGGAUUGUAAAGCACUUUAAGUUGGGAGGAAGGGCAGUAAGUUAAGACCUUGCUGUUGUGACGUUACCAACAGAAUAAGCACCGGCUAACUUCGUG